UGAGGAACAUGACUUUCGGCGGGGAUAGCCGGCCCAACGGCCGGGUAAUACCGCGUACGACCUUUUGGGGACAUCCCCGAGUGGUGAAAGCAGCAAUGCGCCGAAAGAGUGCCUCGCGGCCUAUCAGCUAGUUGGUGGGGUAAUGGCUCACCAAGGCGACGACGGGUAGCUGGU
rnacentral:rRNA from 1 species